rnacentral:rRNA from 1 species
GAUAGGAAUAUUGGACAAUGGGCGCAAGCCUGAUCCAGCCAUGCCGCGUGAGUGAUGAAGGCCUUCGGGUUGUAAAGCUCUUUAGCCGAUGAUUAUAAUGACUGUAGUCGGAAAAUAAGCCCCGGCUAACUUCGUGCCAGCAGCCGCGGUAAUACGUAGGGUGCAAGCGUUAAUCGGAAUUACUGGGCGUAAAGCGUGCGCAGGCGGCUUUGUCAGACGGAUGUGAAAGCCCCGGGCUCAACCUGGGAAGUGCAUUCGUGACUGCAAGGCUAGAGUGUGUCAGAGGGAGGUGGAAUUCCGCGUGUAGCAGUGAAAUGCAUAGAGAUGCGGAGGAACACCGAUGGCGAAGGCAGCCUCCUGGGAUAACACUGACGCUCAGGCACGAAAGCGUGGGGAGCAAACAGGAUUAGAAACCCUGGUAGUCC